rnacentral:rRNA from 1 species
AAUGCCAAUCGAACCUGGAGAUAGCUGGUUCUCUCCGAAAUAGCUUUAGGGCUAGCCUCAAGGUAAGAGUCUUGGAGGUAGAGCACUGAUUGGACUAGGGGCCCUACCGGGUUACCGAAUUCAGUCAAACUCCGAAUGCCAAAGACUUAUCCUUGGGAGUCAGACUGCGAGUGAUAAGAUCCGUAGUCGAAAGGGAAACAGCCCAGACCGCCAGCUAAGGUCCCAA